GCCCGGCUAGCUCAAUCGGUAGAGCGUGAGACUCUUAGUCUUCACGGUCUAAUAGACACGAUUACUCGGAAAAUACAACAUCUCAAGGUUGUGGGUUCGACCCCCACGUCGGGCU
rnacentral:tRNA from 1 species